rnacentral:lncRNA from 1 species
UUGGAAUCCGAGUCUCAAAUUUGGCACCCACACGCAGUAACUUACACCUAAAAUUGAAUAAUUGGUUGUGUAGUUGAUGCAAUUGAAAGUUUACCAACAGAUGUUUGUGUCUCAAUUUGAAAUCUCCUAGGUAAAUUGGAUGAUUGUGAAAUAUUCCUCGCAAUGCAUACGGUUUGUGGCCAUUGUUAUCAAAAAAUAAGAUCAAUUGGGAGUCAUUACCCAUCAUCGAUUGGCACUGUUGGAAGUUCAAUUGAGGCCAAUUUAGGUCGUCGGUGCUUUGGACUAUAGGAAUUGAUAGAGGCAGAUUUGGUUCUUUGCAUGUUGUGAUUGCAAAAAAAUUAUGAGGCACAACAGGUCAAUUGAAGAUUGUUUUGGUCGAAGUUUGACCAUGGUUUAAGUCGUCCUGAUGAGGGGAACCUGUUGGUGGUAGGUCAUGACCGUAAAAGUCGUCGAAGGUCAUGGUGCCACCGGGUUUAGUGGUUUUCAAGUUGGAUGAUUUGGUUGCCAAUUGCAGUCAGAUUUGGUGGGUUUUGGGCGAGAAGUUUGGUGCAUUGUGACAGCAGGAUAGAAGGCUAUAUGGUGGUGUUAGUUUUCGUGGCUAAGGUGGCGAUGGGUGGUGUUUUCGGUGAAUGAAAGUGGCGGCGGAAGCCAAAGUUAGAAAGAAAGUGAUUUAUGUUUUUUUCUUUUUAUUUUUAUUUUUUAAUUAUUUAUUUGAGAUUUAUUGGUACUUUUUUGAAAUGUUUGGGACUUUGGUUUCAUUUUGUUCUUUAUUUUUCUUUUUAUUUUAUAUAAAUAUGAG